GACGAGGGAUCCUAGCGUUGUUCGGAAUUCUUGGGCGUAAAGCGGGUGUAGGCGGACUGUUAAGUCAGGUGUGAAAUCCCAGGGCUCAACCCUGGAAGUGCACUUGAUACUGGCAGUCUUGAAUGUGGUAGAGGUUACUGGAAUUCCUGGUGUAGUGGUGAAAUACGUAGAUAUCAGGAGGAACACCGGAGGCGAAGGCGGGUAACUGGGCCAACAUUGACGCUGAGACCCGAAAGCGUGGGGAUCAAACAGG
rnacentral:rRNA from 1 species